CUAAUGGUGUUUAAAUCAUUUGUUCAUCAAUACUGCUUUAUAUCUAAAAUCACACCUGACGAAGACGUUAUUGUCAUGGCUGAUGAAUUUUGGAGGCAAUUUUAUGGGAAAAUUUUCAAAGGUGGUCAAUCAACUCUUUAUUUAGGAGAUAGAUUUUGGAACGUUAAGAUGGACGGAUUAACUGACAGCUGUGUUUUUACUCAUAGAUGUUCUGAGAUGGUAAACGAUCUUGCCUUAGACAGGUGAUCUAUCUUUGUCUUUUCAAUGGUUGGAAAUAAAAUUUUCGAGCUUUCAGUCUUUAA